rnacentral:rRNA from 1 species
CCUACGGGUGGCAGCAGUGGGGAAUAUUGCACAAUGGGGGAAACCCUGAUGCAGCGACGCCGCGUGAGUGAGGAAGUAUUUCGGUAUGUAAAGCUCUAUCAGCAGGGAAGAAAAUGACGGUACCUGACUAAGAAGCCCCGGCUAACUACGUGCCAGCAGCCGCGGUAAUACGUAGGGGGCAAGCGUUAUCCGGAUUUCCUGGGUGUAAAGGGAGCGUAGACGGAAUAGCAAGUCUGAUGUGAAAACCCGGGGCUCAACGCCGGGAGUGCAUUGGAAACUGUUGAUCUAGAGUGUCGGAGAGGCAAGCGGAAUUCCUAGUGUAGCGGUGAAAUGCGUAGAUAUUAGGAGGAACACCAGUGGCGAAGGCGGCCUGCUGGACGAUGACUGACGUUGAGGCGCGAAAGCGUGGGGAGCAAACAGGAUUAGAUACCCCUGUAGUC